CGGACGGGUGAGUAACGCGUGGGUAACCUGCCUCACACUGGGGGACAACAGUUAGAAAUGACUGCUAAUACCGCAUAAGCGCACAGGACCGCAUGGUCCGGUGUGAAAAACUCCGGUGGUGUGAGAUGGACCCGCGUUUGAUUAGCUAGUUGGUGAGGUAACGGCCCACCAAGCCGACGAUCAGUAGCCGACCUGAGAGGGUGACCGGCCACAUUGGGACUGAGACACGGCCCAG
rnacentral:rRNA from 1 species